UACGAAGGGGGCUAGCGUUGUUCGGAAUUACUGGGCGUAAAGCGCGCGUAGGCGGCUUUGCAAGUCGGGUGUGAAAUCUCCGGGCUUAACUCGGAACUGUCAGAUGAUACUGCUUUGCUAGAGUGCAGAAGGGGCAAUCGGAAUUCUUGGUGUAGCGGUGAAAUGCGUAGAUAUCAAGAGGAACACCUGAGGUGAAGACGGGUUGCUGGGCUGACACUGACGCUGAGGCGCGAAAGCCAGGGGAGCAAACGGG
rnacentral:rRNA from 1 species